CCAUAAUAGUUGUGGUCGUGCUUGGGGUAGGUGCAUCCCUCUUCGUAGAGCUCGCCGCGCCGUCGAUGGCGAGCGACGACGGGAGACGGCGUGCGGCGGGGAUGCGAGACGUCGUGGGGGCGGUGAUUUCUAUGGAUUGCGAUGCCAGCAAAGGUUAGGUUGUUCUCUCCCCUCUUGCUCCGUUCAACCUGGAGCAGCGCAAUCGUCCCUCCCGCACCAGGUGGCCUCAAGUCCCCUUCAUUUUGCAUUUGCUUUAAUCCAUUAAUUUCUCAUCUGAUUCGUUCAACUAAUUUUGAGAUAUGGGUGCAUGUGGUAGUGUGGUGAUUAUCAAAUUUGGUUUUAGGGGCAGCUCUUCAUAGUCAGGGUUGAUGGGGGAUUUCGGGGAAGGGGAAUUAGCUGUUCCUCUCUUCUCGUAUCGUGCUAUUAACCUAUGUGUGGCUUCUCCAGAUGUAGUACUGCUCCCCCCGCACAACUUUUAGGGCCUCCUUUGUUUUAAGUUCAUUUUUUGUUUUGUUUAUGACUUUUUCACAAUGGAUGACAACGCCCCUCGCGGGAUUCUGUGUUAAGUAGUGGUCAGGAGCAGGCCUUGUUGUUGCAGUCCCAGGGCGCUGGCGGUGUUCAACAAGAUCCGUCAGCUUUGACACCCAUAUAUUUAGUUCACUGGCACCUUAUCUGUGCAUCAGAUCGGCUAUGUUAUUUUAGAGAGCUAGCUAGAAUGUUACCCUAAAGAGAAAGCGUGUUUUCAAGUGUGGUUGUUGCGCCACUAUUACUACUACUUUUUUGCUAGUAAUGCUAUAUUCUAUGAACUGCAGGAUUCUCUUUUUUAUGUGACUUGUUAACAUUGUUGUUUUGAGGAAGGCAUGCAAUGAUAAUUAUUUUUGUUUUUUGCAUAAGCUUCUUUAGAUGUUAUGCUGAAUCAAGAACUAAAUAGUUGCAAGCACUACUGCUUUAUUUACAGGCGAUCCUCAUAUGUUUAAUUGUGGUUUUUGGGGCCACUGAGGCACCGACCAAUUGUGUUCAUGUCCAAAUAGAUAUCAUUCAAAAGGAAGAACUGCACGGGCCGUGUUUUGCCUGCUAACACUACUGGAGUUGAGCAUGUGGACAGCCCUCCCGAAUCCGAAAACCUGCAACCUAAUAACAUUGUAUUCCCUCCUUUUAUCAUUAACCUUUUUUAUUUUUCAGUUCAAUUUCAAUCAUCUGUAAUUUAUAGGUAUUCUUUUAGCAGGAUAUACUUUCAACUGGACGCAUAAACUUGAUGGAGGAAUUUGUUGCAUUCUGUAAAACAUAGAUAUGUACAUUUUUUCGAAUAUACCUUUUUUCCAAAUUGUUUUUUUAUCCGCUUGCACAUAACAUGUUCUUUUGAACUGCUCAGUAAAACAUUUUCUAGGUCGUUUAUACCCUCAGGCUAUUCCUUUCAAUUGCUCAUUUAAUUUUUGUUCAUAUGCUUCUGCUUUCAUUUGGUAUGGGUUAUUCCACAAAGCAGAGCAGGUUCUUCGACGGAGGGAGCAUGAAAACAAAAGGCUUCUCGAGAAACACUUUUUUUUUAUGUCAAGAAAACCAAAGAAACACUUGUGCUGUUAUAUGGUGAUUACCUGCCAGUAGAGGUCAUUGACGAACUAUGCCAACUUAUCCAUGAUAAUUCAGUUAUUAAGUGCAAGUCCUAUACCUUUCCAGUUGAGCCUUUCUUCAACAUAGUUAACAAUCUUCUCGCAAUUAGGAGACAGUUGGGAAGUUGUCACAUUGUUCUUUUGUUUUUUGCAUCUUCACUUGCAACGGUGUCCUGUAUUGUUUUAGAAGUGAAUAACCAAUAGAUAUACCGAUAAUAGUUCCAUGUAAUGGACGGGAGGUUCAAUAUUCUAGCACUAGUAGGUAUUUGCACGAAAGUCAUUACCUGCCCCUGAAAGCUAUGAUCCGAAAUCGGCCUUGGUGAUAGAUUUGCUUUCAGAAGAGAGGGUGGAAGAGACGUGACUUACCUUCUGACAACAGAUCUGAACAGCACAGCAAAUUCGGUUGGAAAUAAAUUCUGUAGCACUCCCAAUUUUGAUAACUAAACAAGGCCUCAGUUUCACC